UGGAGCAAGUCACAAAAGCAACCAGA
rnacentral:piRNA from 1 species